rnacentral:rRNA from 1 species
GACGAACGCUUGCGGCGUGCCUAAGAAAUGCAAGUCGAGCGAGCUUAGGGCUUCGGCCCGAAAGCUAGCGGCGAACGGUCGAGUAACACGUGAGCAACCUGCCCCAGAGUGGGGGAUAGCCCACCGAAAGGUGGAUUAAUACCGCAUGUGGUCCCCGCCGGGCAUCCGGUGGGGAUUAAAGCAGCAAUGCGCUCUGGGAUGGGCUCGCGGCCUAUCAGCUUGUUGGUGGGGUAACGGCCUACCAAGGCUACGACGGGUAGCUGGUCUGAGAGGAUGGUCAGCCGGAUUGGGACUGAGACACGGCCCAGACUCCUACGGGGGGCAGCAAUUAGGAAUCUUGCGCAAUGGGCGAAAGCCUGACGCAGCGACGCCGCGUGACCGAUGAAGUCCUUCGGGAUGUAAAGGUCUUUUGCCAGGGAAGAAGAACGUGACGGUACCUGGCGAAUAAGCCCCGGCUAACUACGUG